CUCUUAUCGAGAGUGGCUGAGGGACUGGCCCGUUGACGCCCGGCAACCUAACUUUUUUCAAGUGAAGGUGCUAAUUCCAGGAAAAUGGUAUGUCCAUUUUUCCAG
rnacentral:ncRNA from 2 species